rnacentral:rRNA from 1 species
CACGUGGGUAACCUGCCUGUAAGACUGGGAUAACUCCGGGAAACCGGGGCUAAUACCGGAUGCUUGUUUGAACCGCAUGGUUCAAACAUAAAAGGUGGCUUCGGCUACCACUUACAGAUGGACCCGCGGCGCAUUAGCUAGUUGGUGAGGUAAUGGCUCACCAAGGCGACGAUGCGUAGCCGACCUGAGAGGGUGAUCGGCCACACUGGGACUGAGACACGGCCCAGACUCCUACGGGAGGCAGCAGUAGGGAAUCUUCCGCAAUGGACGAAAGUCUGACGGAGCAACGCCGCGUGAGUGAUGAAGGUUUUCGGAUCGUAAAGCUCUGUUGUUAGGGAAGAACAAGUACCGUUCGAAUAGGGCGGUACCUUGACGGUACCUAACCAGAAAGCCACGGCUAACUACGUGCCAGCAGCCGCGGUAAUACGUAGGUGGCAAGCGUUGUCCGGAAUUAUUGGGCGUAAAGGGCUCGCAGGCGGUUUCUUAAGUCUGAUGUGAAAGCCCCCGGCUCAACCGGGGAGGGUCAUUGGAAACUGGGGAACUUGAGUGCAGAAGAGGAGAGUGGAAUUCCACGUGUAGCGGUGAAAUGCGUAGAGAUGUGGAGGAACACCAGUGGCGAAGGCGACUCUCUGGUCUGUAACUGACGCUGAGGAGCGAAAGCGUGGGGAGCGAACAGGAUUAGAUACCCUGGUAGUCCACGCCGUAAACGAUGAGUGCUAAGUGUUAGGGGGUUUCCGCCCCUUAGUGCUGCAGCUAACGCAUUAAGCACUCCGCCUGGGGAGUACGGUCGCAAGACUGAAACUCAAAGG